rnacentral:rRNA from 1 species
AUUGAACGCUGGCGGCAGGCCUAACACAUGCAAGUCGAAUGGUAACAGGAAACAGCUUGCUGUUUCGCUGACGAGUGGCGGACGGGUGAGUAAUGUCUGGGAAACUGCCUGAUGGAGGGGGAUAACUACUGGAAACGGUAGCUAAUACCGCAUAACGUCGCAAGACCAAAGAGGGGGACCUUCGGGCCUCUUGCCCUCAGAUGUGCCCAGAUGGGAUUAGCUAGUAGGUGGGGUAACGGCUCACCUAGGCGACGAUCCCUAGCUGGUCUGAGAGGAUGACCAGCCACACUGGAACUGAGACACGGUCCAGACUCCUACGGGAGGCAGCAGUGGGGAAUAUUGCACAAUGGGCGCAAGCCUGAUGCAGCCAUGCCGCGUGUAUGAAGAAGGCCUUCGGGUUGUAAAGUACUUUCAGCGGGGAGGAAGGGAGUAAAGUUAAUACCUUUGCUCAUUGACGUUACCCGCAGAAGAAGCACCGGCUAACUCCGUG